AGUAACGGCGAGCGAACGGGGAAGAGCUCGUAGNNGNNUCCUUUGCCUUUGGCACGGGAAAUGUGGCGUGUGGGAGGCGGCACCCUCCUUUUUCCUAUCAGAGCGCAAGUCCCCAUGAGAGGGGCUUUCCCAGAGCGGGUGCUAGGCCCUUACCGCUUGGAUAGGUUAAAGGAGUCGUCGUUCUCUUUAGAGUCGGGUUGCUUGGGAGUGCAGCCCAAAGCGGGUGGUAAACUCCACCUAAAGCUAAAUAAGACCGAGAGACCGAUAGCAAACAAGUACCGUGAGGGAAAGUUGAAAAGCACUUUGAAGAGAGAGUUCAAUAGUACGUGAAACCGUUUGGAGGUAAACGGGUGGGGCUUCGAAGGCCUAAGCAGGUGGCUCAGUCAUGAUUCAAUCGAGGGAAGGUCACUGGUGGACGCUCCGCGAAGGAGGCCACCUAGGCCGAUUACCUCGAGGGUUUGCAGCAUGUUUGCCCCCUUGCCAUUGGGACGCCGCGACGGGUUUCGAGAUUUUCGUGGGGCUUGGCUGAAAGGUGGCCUCCUUUCUUUAUUGAUUGGAGGUGUUACAGGCAGCCUAUCGCCCGAAGUAUCUCGGGACCGAGGAAGAGUAUCUCUCGAGAGCGCUCCCUGUCGAGCAGCUCGGUGCUGGGGCUGCCACAACUUCCUUUAAUUCUACUCUUCGAGUGCUUUAUCGGAGGUUCAGGGUUUCCCCUAGUACUUAGAGCGGUGGAGCGAGAGGUGGGCGGCGAGUAGUUCGGGCUCCCACCCGACCCGUCUUCAAACACGAACCAAGGAGUCCAAUGCGCGUGCGAGUCCCCGGGACUUGAAUAGGCCCGUGGGCGCAAAGAAAGGGAAGGGUGUCUCGGACGUCCUAGUUUGGAUCUUCUAAUUAGGAGCGCACCAACGGCCCAUUCGAAACUGGUUUCAGUUGGAUGGAGCAAGAGCACGCGCCUUGGGACCCGAAAGAUGGUGAACUAUGCCUGGGCAGGACGAAGCCAGAGGAAANNNNGGUGGAGGUCCGCAGCGAUUCUGACGUGCAAAUCGAUCGUCAGACCUUGGUAUA
rnacentral:rRNA from 1 species